UACGGGGGGAGCAAGCGUUGUUCGGAUUUACUGGGCGUAAAGGGCGCGUAGGCGGCCAGCACAAGUCAGUUGUGAAAUCUCCGAGCUUAACUCGGAACGGUCAACUGAUACUGUGCGGCUAGAGUGCGGAAGGGGCAACUGGAAUUCUUGGUGUAGCGGUGAAAUGCGUAGAUAUCAAGAGGAACACCUGAGGUGAAGACGGGUUGCUGGGCUGACACUGACGCUGAGGCGCGAAAGCCAGGGGAGCAAACGGG
rnacentral:rRNA from 1 species